AUAGCUCAGUGGUAGAGUGUGUGCACAGGGUCCUGGGUUCAAUUCCCAGU
rnacentral:tRNA from 1 species